ACCCACUUCGGCUUUUUGUGUCACACACGCGCAUAGUUUUCCCUUUCCCAGCUUAACAAGCGAUAGCGACGCUGUUAAAUUAAAUUUAGUGACAAACGAAUUGCUUUCUUGUCAUUCGAUAUGUAAAGACAGACCGCAAAGGGCGAGGCGCGAGCAGAAGCACAUGUUAACUUUACCGGCGGCGCCGCGGCGGGGGAUCACGGAGCCGUCGUCUACGCUGUCACUGAGGCAAAGACAAGAAGCACAUUCACUUCACAGUCGGUACGGCAGAGUGUGCAGAGUUUUUAUGUCCAUCCAUUGAUGAGGCUAGCAAGACCUUCAAACAACUUCAGCCAAUUGCAACAAAUGUGGUGGAAUUUCUUCUCUGGACAGAAUCCUCGAAACCCUUUCCUUUCGUCCUGGCCAUGGGAAACAUGCAGCAGACCUCUCAAUCUUUUUUCUCAAUCAGUCUCUCUGAAUACGGAAGUGACUUAAACUGCAAUUCGGCCAAGAUGGCGACGACACGCACCGCCUACUUUAAGCUUCAAAAAUGCUCUUCACAAACCAAUGGGUGACGUC